rnacentral:rRNA from 1 species
CGGCAACAGCUCAAAUUUGAAAUCUGGCUCUCGGGCCCGAGUUGUAAUUUGUAGAGGAUACUUUUGAUGCGGUGCCUUCCGAGUUCCCUGGAACGGGACGUCAUAGAGGGUGAGAAUCCCGUAUGGGAUGGGGUGUCCGCGCCCGUGUGAAGCUCCUUCGAC